ensembl:ncRNA D1081.17 ncRNA
GUAAAGUGAGCAAUCAGUUAGUCAUCAGAAGUCUCUCUCUUUCUAUCUGUCCAUUAGUGUGAGAUGUAACCAAAGUCGUACACACACCAAACGCAUUACACUAUAACACGGGACCCCCUUUUUCCCUUCCCGUAGGGUUC